CAGUUUCGUAUGUGUUUUAAGUAGAAAUAAAGACAUUAUAAUUGAAUAAACGUUUUCCCCUUGCUAACCAUGCCCUCUCAGGGUUAACAGCAAGCAAAUGGAAUAAAGUGGAAUCCUUGCAAAAGUAACCACAAAUAAGACAACCAUGGGGGGAGAGGUGGGUUUCAGCUUUCCUGGUUGCCUGCCAUAGAGGUUUGCUCAUAUGUGAUUGAUUGCUCUGGUGUAUUCUUGAAUUGGGGAUUUCAUUGCCACCAGACAUUCAGCAACAGCAAUACGGCAGAGCAUGGAAGGUGAACCUGAGAUUAUGGACUUCAAUCAGCCCCCAUGAGACCAUGGCCCAUCAGCAAAGGUGAUACAGUUGUAUACAAAAACUAAAUGCCACACUUCCUCCUGGAACAUUAAUUGAAAAAAAAAUUUCACAG
rnacentral:lncRNA from 1 species